rnacentral:misc_RNA from 1 species
ACAGUAUAAACAGUAGCUUAAUAGAUAAAAUUAAAUUUAAAUUAUUUUUAAUAGAAAUAUCAAUAUAUAAGAACAGACAAACCGACAAAUAAUGAGAAAACCAAAAUAUGUCAAGGGUAAUUCACCCUAAUUUCUAAAUGGUACAGUAAUCAGUACCACAAAAUAAAUAGGGAUUUUCAACCUAAUUAAUCCUCAAAGCAAAAUUUCGCACUCGGGUGUUCAACCUCUAAUCUGCUCCAACAGGCACAAAUUGCAGCCUCUCCAUGAUCAUUGCAAAGUCAGGGUUUCUAUGUUUUUUUUUUAAAAAAAAAGCAUAAUUUUACACAAAAUUGUUACCUGCUGACAACAUUCCUGCUAAUGUCUCACAAAUUGUCGUUUAUCAUCUCCAUCACUCUGCCUUCCAUAAGGGUUGCUCUCAUUGAACCCAUUUUUACUCCCUUUAUGCUUUUUCUUUCUAAAUUUGGAAGCAUUACUGUCUAUGUUCAGAUUCACCUUUGGUGGACAAGAAAAGCAAAAUGAAGCUGCAACCGCCUGUUAAAAUCCAACAACAUUAGCCAUUUUAUUGUGUGUCACAGUAUGAUCUGGUAAUGUUACCAAGGAUACACUAAUUGGAAGCUAUGGCCGCAUAUAUCUUCUAAAGACAGGGUCUUGCAAUCAAAUUUCCCUUUACAAUUUCCUUGAUCACACAGGAAAUAACAAACACGCAGAUUGCAUCAGUUUUCGUAAAAAAUGAUCUCACAAUUUAAGUCGUUCGUAGCAAAGUUUUCUCAUAAUAAUUAAUAAAUAGUUAAUUUUGGAUCUAAACUUUGUUGUCCAUGAAGCAAAAUUACUGGACAAACUCACUCCACGCGUUAUCCGACUUAAGAUAAAUUCAUUCUCAAACACAAUUGCAUUUAGAAUGUAAGGACAGAGUGUAGAAAUGAUACCUGUAGAUCAAGGCAGUGGACAUUAAAUAUGUCUUUCAUAGAGUGUGAAUUGUAGGCCAAUACGUAGGAUCGAUAUGCAUCUUUAGCAGAUUUGUUCAAAUAAUAGUUGUUUGCCACCAACUUCUCCUGCAUCAAUCCAAUAGUCUAGUUUAAGCUCCUUUGCUCCCAGUUAUUAGGAAAAGAUAAGGUGUCAAGGAAAGCAAGAAAAAUACCAGAUGAGACUGAACGUUUGCCAGCUUCUUAUCAUCAAAUUCAUAUUCUUUAACGGGGACUUUUGCCCCCUGGAAGUACGUACGCAGUUAGAAUAUGGAACAAGCAAUUAUAAUAGCAAACUUAAAUUCAUUAAUUAUUUUCCUCUUCAAUCUAAUGGUUACCAGACUUCAAGCUCACUUGUUUGCUUUUUAAUUCAAGAGGCAAAACCCCCAAGAAAGCAUUAUGGUCCUAAUGACAAGACAUCCUCUAUAGCACUUACUGAUUGAAAAAUAAAUCAAAUAAUCAUUUAAGGAGGUGUCCACUAAAUAAAAAAAUAGGAGAUGCAAAUCAGCACCCCUGUUAGGAUUUUACUAUACCUUCAGAUAGCGCAGAAACUGCAGCUCUUCUGGAAUCAGAAAAAGCAGGGCAUUUCCUUUCGCACCUUCUCCACGUGCUGUACGGCCAACCCUAUGAAUGUACUCCUUGGGUUCAUCAGGAGGAUCAUACUGCACUAUCCAGUCCACAUCAGGAAUAUCAAGUCCACGAGCAGCAACAUCAGUACAUAGCAAGAUCCCCUUCUCUGCUUUGCAGAAAUCAAAAAAGGUAGAGGUCCGUUUCUGCUGCUUUUGUUUUCCAUGGAUAUCAAGGCAUUCAACUUGAAUGUAUCUGAGAAGUUCAGAAUGGAACUUGACUGAGUUACAUGAAGAGAAGAAGACCAUCACUUUCUUUGAUAAAUUCCUCUUCAGAAAUGAGUAGAGAAGAAUAAAUCUCUUGGCACUAGGCACUACACAAUAACCUUGCUGCAACCCUUCAUUUGUGACCUUAGUUCUUCCAUCAUCCACAUCAAUAUAGAUAGGAGUAGUCUGAAAUGACAAGCGGGCAAGAUCCUCAACCUGUAAGUUAAUAAAACAACCACUAUCAGCAUGGUCAAUUAGAAAACAACACACUAAAUUUCACAACAGAAAAGAGGAAAGUCUGAGAUUUUUAUUGGAUUAUUAAAUAUAUCUACAGAAGACGAGCCAUUUGAUACAUUUAACACAUAUACAUGGGUAAGUGAUCCACUGCAGAAAAUAAAUUUAAGCCAAAAACAAAGUUUUUGAGCACAAACCUUCUUUGUUUGAGUUGCUGAAAAUAAAGCAGUUUGCCUACUCUUUGGCAGAAGCUUGAUAAUUUGUUUCAUUUCUUCCUCAAAGUUAGCCUCCAAUAUCCUAUCCGCUUCAUCAAUCAUGAGGCACUUCAAGUUCUUAUAUAUAAAUCCCUUCGUAUUUUGAAGAUGAUCAAGAAGUCGACCAGGAGUUGCAACCAAUAAAUUUACCCCUUUAACGAUACGUUCUGCUUCUCCUUUUCUAGCAGAACCCCCAAUGACCAAGCCAAGAGUUUGCGAGUGAUAUUUGAGAAGGUCCUUUGCAACAGCAUGAGUCUGUAUGGCAAGUUCCCUUGUUGGGCAAAUGACAACAACGCCUGUUCCAUUGCGAGGAGUGAAACUGACAUUAUAUAACAACUCCACAGCUGGUAUUAAGAAAGCAAGUGUUUUCCCAGAACCUGUCCUUGCAGCACCAAGAACAUCUUUGCCGAUUAGAAGGGGUGGAAUUGCUCUAGCUUGUAUCUUAGUCAAAUACUGAAAUCCCAUCUCCUGAAUGGCCUUGAGAGUAGGUUCAGAUAAUCCUAAAGAGUCAAAGGACUCUACACUCAUAAUCCCACUCUCACUCUUCACCUUUUUCUCCGCCUUCUCCCCAUCCUCUUCCUCCUUCCGCUUUCGCUUCGGCUGCUCAUCAGCCAUAGCUACUUCCGCUUCUAAUUUGGAAUUCUAGGUUUAGGCAUAAACAAACAAGAAAUAGACAAAAUAUAAAAGAAAUCAAUUGUAGCUAUGGAUGCAACAGCUAAAUUGGAUAUAAUUCCGUUCUCCAACAAUCUGGUGGCCAGAGAAAUCAAUCAAUGAUUUCUACUCAAUCAAAGCAACUUAAGAAAUCAAGUCAAGGCAAAACUGCAGGAUUUUAAUCUAAAAGUGCAGAAAUGAAGAUGCAAAACAGUACGAUUUAAAUAUUAAACUGCAGCAAUUCAAUGCAGAAGUGCAAAAUUUAAAAGAUCAAGGAUUGUUUUAGCAAAAACUGAUCCUAAACUAUACACCAUCAUGAAAUCCCACAAGAGUUGACAAAUAUGGAUCAUGGCUUAGCCCUCUUACACAGUAAUUUCUGCUCUCAAGAUGAAAUUUGUGAAACUAGUACUUGUUACUUAGUUUUGUGAAAUCCAUAAAGCUGAAAAUAUUUGGAUUUGCAUCAAAAUUAAUAAAACAAUUCAAUAACAGAAAGAAGGAUAAAUUUCUAUCCAAAAAUUAUAAUGGUUGCAAAAUAGAACUAUAAAUCCAUGAUCAACUAAUGACAAUAAAGAGCUAAAAGUGCAGCAUUUUUUUCUUUUCUAGGUGCAAAACUAAAGCAAGCAGAUUGAAAGGAAACAGAAAAGCACCUGCUUAUGUUUAAGAUAAAGAAAGAAGAGGACAGAAGCUACAAGGUCCUUGUGUGAGAGAACAACAGCAAUGGCUCCUACAGUAAGGCCCAAGCUGAUACAGUUACACUUAUUGCUUUGUAAAAUGCACCUCCACUGAACU